rnacentral:rRNA from 1 species
UACGUAGGGGGCAAGCGUUGUCCGGAUUUAUUGGACGUAAAGCGCUCGCAGGUGGUUCAUUGCGUCGUGCGUGAAAGACCCCGGCUCAACUGGGGAGGGUCGUGCGAAACGGGUGAACUAGAGGCCAGUAGGGGGAUGCGGAAUUCCGGGUGUAGUGGUGGAAUGCGUAGAGAUCCGGAGGAACACCAGCGGCGAAGGCGGCAUCCUGGACUGGUCCUGACACUCAGGAGCGAAAGCGUGGGGAGCGAUCCGG